rnacentral:rRNA from 1 species
UGUUGUUUAGUUGAAAAUCAAUUAAAUAAUUUUUGAUUUUGAGUAGUAUUGACUUCAUCAGCUUGCUGCUUUCUUUUCGGAAAUUAUUUAAUGCACUUUUCAGUUAACAAGUCAACAUCAAUUUCUUUUGUUGUAAAAGGGUAAGAGGAAGGUGGCUUACAUUUCGGUGUAAGCGUUUAUAGCCUUUUACCUCUGCAAUCGGAGAGAUUGAGGUCAGCAGCGUAGACUCUUCGGGGUUAGAUACGCUUGUGCUAAGCUAUAGCCUUGUAUAGACAACUUGUUGACUAUGCUCAGUCAUGUAGCUUACUCGCUUGUAGUAUUUUACCUAC